rnacentral:rRNA from 1 species
UACGUAGGGGGCUAGCGUUGUCCGGAUUUAUUGGGCGUAAAGAGCUCGUAGGCGGCUUGUUGCGUCAGCUGUGAAAUCCCGAGGCUCAACCUCGGGUCUGCAGUCGAUACGAGCAAACUAGAGUGUUGCAGGGGAGACUGGAAUUCCUGGUGUAGCGGUGAAAUGCGCAGAUAUCAGGAGGAACACCGGUGGCGAAGGCGGCGUCCUGGACCAAUACUGACACUGAAACGCGAAAGCCAGGGGAGCAAACGGG